rnacentral:lncRNA from 1 species
UGCUUCGGCCAGAAGCUGUCACAUUUUUUGAGCAUGAUAGAUCUGUCGCUCCGGACAGAUCAAUCAAGGAUGAGGAGCAGCAUGAGAGGCAGCUCCGCACGGCAAGGUCAGUAGAUCAAUUAAUAUAUCCUUUAGACUGAUAUAGUUAUUUUGCAGGUUGUUUUUUGUUUUGCAGGCACGAUUCUGUUGCUUCGGCCAGAAUCCACGCAUUCUGUUGCUUCGGCCAGAAUCAAACCAAGAACUAUGUUGUCGCUUUGGCUUCAAUGGUUCUUUAAACAUUUGGAGAUCAUUUUUGUCAUUUGACCUUAAUGAUCUCGACCCAUCUUGCGCUUCGGCCUAUGGGGUAACCGUCGUUGCAGACAAAAAGUCGCC